UCUCCGUAGGUGAACCUGCGGAGGGAUCAUUACCGGGCUCAUGCCCUUACGGGUAGAUCUCCCACCCUGUGUUAUUAUUACCUUUGUUGCUUUGGCGGGCCGCCAGGCUCCGGUCAGGCUAUCGGCUUCGGCUGGUAAGCGCCCGCCAGAGGACCCUAUAUCCUGAUUAUUAGUGUCGUCUGAGUACUAUAUAAUAGUUAAAACUUUCAACAACGGAUCUCUUGGUUCUG
rnacentral:misc_RNA from 1 species